rnacentral:rRNA from 1 species
CAUUGCAGUAGUUUUAGAGGGGUUCUAGAUGCUGGCCUUUUCAACGAGGCAUGUGCGCGCCCCUCGACUUCUAUUCCACAUACACCUGUGCACCUAUGGCGAGUGUCUCCCGUUCGUUCGGAGCAGUCUCGAUCCNUUCGUGGGUCGGGACCGAGGCGCUCCCCUUUUAUUUNACACAUCAAUGCCUGUUCAUACGCAUGUCUUUACUAGCUCUACGGAGUGAAACAUAAUACAACUUUC